GACGAACGCUGGCGGCGCGCUUAACACAUGCAAGUCGAACGGAAAGGCCUGCUUUCCCUUGUGGAUUGCGGGUACUCGAGUGGCGAACGGGUGAGUAACACGUGAGUGAUCUGCCCCCAACUUGGUUAUAAGCCUGGGAAACUGGGUCUAAUUCCCGAUAGGACUGCAGGGUGGUGCCUGUGGUGGCAAACGAUUUUCUAGUGGUUGGGGAUGAGCUCGCGGCCUAUCAGCUUGUUGGUGGGGUAAUGGCCUACCAAGGCGGCGACGGGUAGCCGGCCUGAGAGGGUGGACGGCCAAAUUGAGACUGAGAUAAGGCCCAGACUCCUACGGGAGGCAGCAGUGGGGAAUAUUGCACAAUGAGCGGAAGCCUGAUGCAGCGACGCCGCGUGGGGGAUGACGGCCUUCGGGUUGUAAACUCCUUUGGACCGAGAGGAAGCCACCUGGUUGGAAGGGUGGUGACGGUAGUGGUAGAAGAAGCACCGGCUAACUACGUG
rnacentral:rRNA from 1 species